AUGCAACAUUUAUUGGAUGCCAACCGCCGUUAAACCUAAUCGAAAAAGAGAUAUCGCUUAUUAUCGCAUCAGUACAAACUUUGUAAGUGUAUACAUUAAACGUGUCACUAAUUUUGGAACGCUCAACUCGUCAUAGCCCCGCCUCCUCAGUUCCGGCAUUUUGGCUCCGGAAGUACAGUAAUUUUUUUGGUUCACAGGAAAAGGAAAAAAAAACUGCUGUUGGGAAACAAAACAGCAAAGUGAGUUUUAGUGACGAAUGUGAUUAUUUUAUAGUUUUACUAUAGUAAUACGUAUCAUAAUAAAUGACAAGAUGUGAUUUAGUUUGGCAUCUUAGUUUGCUUCUUGCGCAUUUGUAGCUAGCCAAAAUGUGCUAGCUAACUCGCAACGACGCUAUGCUGUCGUUUAACGGUAAUUCCCAAGUGUCUUAUCUUCUGCAAGCAAAGUGGUUUGCUUGCAAUCGAUUCCACAACAACUAGCGUGCUAAUGCUAUGCUGCAUCGUGAAUGGAUGGGAGUUUGAUUAUUGGAGUAACUAGCUAGGUAGUUUUCUUGUUACAUUGUUGCAGCUAACUAACAACAUAGCUAACUGUCUAGCCAGUCAGUAUUAAGCUGUUGCGCUCAUUACAGCAGGUUAACUAGCUAGUUCGUUUACUUAGGUAACUCGCAAAUUCAAUUACUAGUUAUUAGGCUACAGUAAAAUAGUUGAACAAUAACCAUAUCCCACGCUUCGAAAUGCCUGCCCCAAAAAGACACGAGUCUUUUCAGGAUCCUCAAGCAAAGAGAAGAAAGAUGGAUCAGAAUGAAGUCGCCAUGCCAUCCAACAAAACGACACCAGCCUCUGCAACGUCAAGCAACCCCCAAAGAGAAGCACCUUUGCAGAGAAGGAAUAAGAAAAAGGCCCCUGCAGAACUAAAAGAGGGAAAUAAACCUGCAGGGUCCAGCCGCCAUUCCUCCAAGACAAAAUCAACCCAAAAGGCCAGGACUAGGACCAAGUUCAAUCCACCUGUAAAGAACACCAAGCUGCUGAAAGCCACAAGUGCCUCCUCAAAGAAUCCCAACUCUAAAGGAACCCUAAAAAGACCAGCCAAGAUCUUCAAAAUUGCUUCCACAGAGUCUGAUGAGGAGCUUAUCAGAACUCAUAAACCCCAUUGCAUCAGAAAAUACUCUAAUGGGGAUAGAGGUAAGCGUAAAGGGUCACAGUCUAACCUGAAUGAAGAAGUAUUGCUCUCAGACCCUGUGCAGAGGGAUCACAAUUAUGGUAUACCCUCUGCGUCUUGUGGUAGUCAUUCUGAAAUUGAGGAAAAUAAAAGGAAAAGAGUCAGAGAGUCCACCAGAGGCCCAGAGACCCUGAGAGAUGUGAAGAUGGAAACUCAAAUAUCUUCAGGACCCUUACCUGAACAAUCUGGACAGAUGAAGCGGAGCAGUGAGACACAUGAGAUGCAGGAUAAUUCCAUUACCACCCCAACAGAUGAAUUUAGUGAGAGUGUCAAUACCAAGCCAGACACAGAAAUGUCUCCUCCAGCAUCCCCUGAGAAAGCUUCAGACCCCAUCCAUAAACAGGUGAACCAGAAUAAUUCCAUGACUACCCCAACAGAUGAAGUUAGUGAGAGUUUUGAGACCAAGACUGACACAGAAAUGUAUCCUCCAGCAUCCCCUGAGAAAGCUUCAGACCCCAUCCAUAAGCGGGUGAACCAGAAUAAUUCCAUGACUACCCCAACAGAUGAAGUUAGUGAGAGUUUUGAGACCAAGACUGACACAGAAAUGUAUCCUCCAGCAUCCCCUGAGGAAGCUUCAGACCCCAUCCAUAAACAGGUGAACCAGAGUAGUGAGACACAUGAGGAGCAGAACGAUUCCAUGACCAUCCCUACAUAUCAAGUUAGUGAGAGUGUAGAGAGCAAGAUUGAUGCAUAUAAAAAGUCUGCAGACCCCAUACCUGAACUACUAAAACAGAGCACUGAGACACAGGUUAUGCAGGAAAACUCCAUGACCACCCAUACAGAUCAAGUUAAUGAACAUUUAGAGACUAAGAUCGGUGCAAAAAUAUUGUCUCCUCCAGCCAUAGGCUUAGUAGCAUAUAGUAGCAGUAGUGAUUCUGAAUGUGAAAGUGAGGGAAAUGACAGGACGGGAGUCACAGAGUCAAUAGAUAUGAAGAUGAAAACUCAAGCAUCUUCAGAGAAGGCUUCAGACCCUGUCUCUGAACAGGUGAAGGAGAGCAGUGAGACGAGGCAGAUGCAGGAGGAUUCCAUGACCACCCCUACAUAUGAAGUUACCGAGGAUUCCAUGGCCUCCCCUACAUACCAAGAAGUUACCGAGGAUUCCAUGACCACCCCUAGUGAGAGUGUAGACGCCAAGCUUGACGCAAAUAUAAAGCCUCCAUCUAUAGAAGUAUAUUCAGAGGAGGCUUCAGACCCUGUCCCUGAACAGGUGAAUCCUGAACAGGUGAAUCAGAUAUACAUUGAAAUAGAGAAGGUGCAGGAAGAUUCCAUGACCACCCCAACAGAUGAAGUAAGUGAAUGUUUAGAUGGCACGCUUGAUGCAGAAAUAAUGUCCCUUCCACCUUUAGAAGCAUCCUCUGAGGAGACCCAUACAUUUGAAGUUAGUGAGAAUGUAGAGACCAAGUGUUCAGAACUUGCACCUGAACAUGUGACGCAGAGCACUGAGACACAGGAGAUGCAGGGAGAUUCCACGCCAGCUCAUGCAGAUCAAGUAAGUGAGAGUGUAGACACCAAGCUUGAUAUCGAGGUAAAUUCUCCUCCACCUGUUGUACUAUCCUCUGAGGAGUAUUCAGACAUGGUCUCUGUCUCAGAACAGGUGCUGCAGAGCAGUGAGACACAGGAAGUCCAGGAAGAUUCCAUGACCACCCCUACAGAUGAACUUAGGGAAAGUUUAGGAACAAAGUCGGGUGCUAAAAUAAAGUCUCCACCCCUAGAGGUGCUUUUCAGUGCUCUAAAGGAGUCCAAUCUUUGCAAACAUCCACUGUCUCAUACGAUGCGCUCAAAUGUUAAAGAGUUUCUGGGAGUAGAGGAUUCUUUAGAAAUCACACAAAAAGACUGGGAGUUUGGUGUAACAGAGAGCAUUGAGUGUACUUUAGACCUGGAGACCCCGAUUAUUGUCGAGGAUAUGGAGAUCGGCCACUGUGUUGUGGAGGUGGUGGGAGAGAAUGGAGAUGAGGUGGACAGUGAUCUGGAAAUCAUAGACAUCUCUGAGAGGCCAGAGAACACACUUGAGCUAACCAAAGGGUCUGAAGAAGAGUGCAGUGUGGAUAAAAGUGAAGAUGGUAUUGAAAAGAAAGGCACAAGUUCCUCUAACCAAGACAGCACAAAUAGUGGUAAGAAGGAAGCUACUAAAAAAACACAGGGUAGCCUGGAAAAACCCAAGAAACAGCAGAUGAACCCUCAGGCCCGGACCAAAGCCCGACUAGCAGCACUAGCUGAGCAAAAGGCAGCCGCCUCCAAAAAAGCGAGCAGGCAGCUCAACCUCCUGGCCCUAUGUGAAGAAAUAGCAGAUGAUAUCGCCACUGACACAAUGUUAAUAAAGACGAAGGAGGAGGAGGAGCAGGUUGUAACAGUUAAGGCUGAACCCAGCAAGGAGCCAGAAUGCACACCGCCUGUCACACAGGCUGAGACUGUUCCUAUACCUCCAACUCCUGCCGGGCCCGAGGAACCCUCUCCAGCAGUAGAACCCUCCGCUGAGGAGCCUGCUCCAGCCAAGCCCCCAGCUCCAGAGCCAUCUCAGAGGCGUUUCUUCAUCAGCCAAGUGACAGUACCCCUCAAAAUCCACGAGAAGAAGAAGCUUACCAGGUUCCAGAGGCUGCGGCAGGUGGAGCUACAGCGGGAGAAGAAUAUGUCCUGGACCAUGGUGAAGAAGCUCAAGUCCGAUCAGAAGAUGAUUCCAGAGACUGAGACUAAACCUUCCCCUCCAGCAGCAGUACCUGUCCAAGUGACCACACCCCCACCCCCCUCAGCCAGUCCAGCAGCACCCACAGUAGCUGCACUCUCCCCAACCAUUCCAGAAGUAACCCCAAAAGUUGAGCCCCCAAAAGUUGAGCUCCCCAAAGUGACCCCCAGUAAGGGACCCACCCUGAGAAAGAGGACGCUUCCAGCAGAACCCCCACCGAUGCCCAACGGGCUGAAAGCUCAGAAGGCCAAGCCUGUGGUGGAGUAUAAGCCUUACAAAUCCAGGCCCAAGUACUCCUUUGAUGACUUUGAAUGUGAUGACGAGCCGAAACCCACAGUGCAGAAGGCAGCAGUGAGACCUACAGCUACCACUAUUCAGAGGGCAGCAGUGACACCUACCACUAUUCAGAGGGCAGCAGUGACACCUACCGCCGUUCAGAGGGCAGCAGUGACACCUACCGCCGUUCAGAGGGCAGCAGUGACACC
rnacentral:lncRNA from 1 species